rnacentral:lncRNA from 1 species
AAAACCUACAUUCUUAUUACUAAACAUUUCCAGUAGAUCCAGAAUCUCACUCCAUUUUUUCUUCUAGUUUAGAUAAGCUGGAGAUUGCACUUCAGAAAGUCAAACUUCCCCUUAGAAACAUAUGGUGAUGCAAGUUGGAUGCAUGCUGAAAAGUAAAAUGAAAGCAGAAAAAAAAUCUUCCUCUGGUAGGACAAGCAAUUGUGGCUGAAACUGGACAAGUAUCAGCAUAGAGUUUGCUGUGUUGGAGAGAAUUCCUGUCAUGUACCCCCCACAUUUGCAACCCCAGUACCAUUCAUGCCAGUUCACAGAGCACAGCUAGCCCCUUGUAAUGAAGCAGUACAUGGCAUUUUACAAAACCACUAGUAUGCGCUUCCUAAAGGGUUCAGAGACCAGGGAGAUUCCUUCAUCCCCCUGAAAUCUAUUUUCAGUGAUUUGACAUCAUCCUCUCCUCUGUGAUUGAGCUCAGAUAAACUCAAAACUAUUCUCAUGCAAUCACCCUGUCAUGUGUGUGUCUAUAUCUUAAGAACAGCCAGGAUUGCCUCAUAUAUUGGAAGCUAAGCAUGUCAUGUGUUUGCGGUGGGUACAGAAUGUGAAGCAAUCGAGCUUUCAUAUAAGAACUCAGUAGCAGUACUCAAUUCAGAGUGCUAUUAAGCAAAAUGUUGAACCAGGGAAGUUAGUUCCACUUAACAAUCUGAUUAUCCUUUGAUAAUGUUAUUUUUCUGUUGUUUUUUUUUUUUGUUUUUUUGUUUGUUUGUUUGUUUGUUUCUUUUUCCUCAGUUGAUGUAAAAACCAUAAUUCUAUUGAAGCCAGCAGAGUACUUGACUUGUAGUAGCUGAAGAUCUAGCCCUAAGGUUAUGACAUUAUGCCUCUACUAAAACAUGUUUCUGUUUUUCAUUUAGUUACCUAAUGCUAAUAAUAGUCUGCAUUUUCUGAAUAACUAACAUGUAGGUAAAAGCACUUUUAAUAAAAAUACUCAAAUUAUCA